UACAGAGGGGGCAAGCGUUAUUCGGAAUUAUUGGGCGUAAAGGGCGCGUAGGCGGUUCUUCAAGUCUCUCGUGAAAUCCCUCGGCUUAACUGAGGACGUGCGGGAGAUACUGAAGGGCUUGAGUCCGGAAGAGGGUGGUGGAAUUCCCAGUGUAGCGGUGAAAUGCGUAGAUAUUCACAGGAACUCCGGUGGCGAAGGCGAGGUGCUGGACCCCUUCUGACGCUGAGGCGCGAAAGCCAGGGGAGCGAACGGG
rnacentral:rRNA from 1 species